AUUGAACGCUGGCGGCAUGCCUUACACAUGCAAGUCGAACGGUAACGGGCCUUCGGGUGCCGACGAGUGGCGAACGGGUGAGUAAUGUAUCGGAACGUACCUUUCAGUGGGGGAUAACGUAGCGAAAGUUACGCUAAUACCGCAUAUUCUGUGAGCAGGAAAGCAGGGGAUCGCAAGACCUUGCGCUGAUUGAGCGGCCGAUAUCAGAUUAGCUAGUUGGGGAGGUAAAGGCUCACCAAGGCGACGAUCUGUAGCGGGUCUGAGAGGAUGAUCCGCCACACUGGAACUGAGACACGGUCCAGACUCCUACGUGAGGCAGCAGUGGGGAAUUUUGGACAAUGGGGGCAACCCUGAUCCAGCCAUGCCGCGUGAGUGAAGAAGGCCUUCGGGUUGUAAAGCUCUUUCGGCCGGGAAGAAAUCGUAUCAGCUAAUACCUGGUGCGGAUGACGGUACCGGCAUAAGAAGCACCGGCUAACUACGUGCCAGCCGCCGCCGUAAUAC
rnacentral:rRNA from 1 species